AUUUAUUAAAGAUGGAUAUUUGGACAAGGACGGGAGAUAUGAAUUUAAAAAUGGUGAUAUUUAUGUUGGUAACUUUAAAGAAGGUCAAUUUCAUGGUAAAGGAUAUUACAAAUGGCAUAAUUCAACUCCUUAUGCAAUUUUCGAAGGAUUUUAUAAAAAUGGAAAAAAACAUGGAUUGGGAAAACUAUCAUGCCCCAAUGGAAAAUUAUUAUUUGGUAAUUUCGUAAAUAAUAAUAUGGAAGGCGAGUUUUUAGAAAUAAGUCCCCAGGGGCAUCAAACGAAAGUUCUGUACAAAAAUGGGCAAUUUAUAAAAAGUAUUGAAAAAAUUAAAGAAGUGUUAGAUACAAAGGAGUAUACCAGUGAUGAUUUAAUUACCUCCCAGAUCUUUUCGGAUCCCGAUGUUUACAAAAGGCUUUAUGAGGUAUGUGUGCUAUAUGUACAUACCCAAACCAUAACUGUUUGCUUUUUAUAAAACUAAAUUUUAAGAAAACAUUCACAACGUGUGUAUAGAUACUUCUUGAAAUAGAACAUUUCAGAAAUCAUUUAUGUAUUUUUUUUUUUUUAUCACUGUUAAUAACAAGUAUAUAUAUAUAUAUAUAUGUGUGUAUUUUGUAUUUAAAUUGUUUUGUUGUUUUUUAUUUUAUUAGUUUAUUAAUUUAUUUAUUUAUUUACUAUUAUUAUUUUUUUUUUCUUAGAUGGAAAAAAAGAAAAAAGCCAAAAUAUUCCUUAAGCUGAAAAGAAAUUAAUUAAACUUAGAAACAAAAAAUUAUAAAAGGGUGUGAUGACGUCUCUUUUUUUUUUUUUUUUUUGUUUUUAUCAUAUGGAUUAAUUUAAAGUUAGUACAUGAGAUAGAAGUAAAGGUUACUUCUUUUUUUUCAGUACAUGAUAAUAAUAUUUCUAUUAUGUUGUCAAUAAUACUAGUGAUAUUAUUUCAUAAACAAAUAUAUAAAAUACGUUUCUCAUUAAUAUAUAUAUAUAUAUAUAUAUAUUAUUUAUUCUACAUUUUCAUAUUUGUGCAAAAUAGUUUUAUGCCAAUUAGUUAAUACACUGCAUAUAUAAAGAAAAAAAAAAAAAUAGUGUCCAAAGGUUCUUCAUGUACAUAUAUAUAUAUAUACAUUUAUGUACACAAUCAUUUUGAGUUAUGAAAAUAAAAAAAAAAGGUGAUACA
rnacentral:lncRNA from 1 species